rnacentral:rRNA from 1 species
UACGUAGGGUGCGAGCGUUAAUCGGAAUUACUGGGCGUAAAGCGUGCGCAGGCGGCUUUGCAAGACAGAUGUGAAAUCCCCGGGCUUAACCUGGGAACUGCAUUUGUGACUGCAUGGCUGGAGUGCGGCAGAGGGGGAUGGAAUUCCACGUGUAGCAGUGAAAUGCGUAGAGAUGUGGAGGAACACCGAUGGCGAAGGCAGCCCCCUGGGAUAACACUGACGCUCAGGCACGAAAGCGUGGGGAGCAAACAGG